rnacentral:rRNA from 1 species
GACGAACGCUGGCGGCGUGCCUAAUACAUGCAAGUCGAGCGGAUCUUCAUUAGCUUGCUUUUGAAGAUCAGCGGCGGACGGGUGAGUAACACGUGGGCAACCUGCCUGUAAGACUGGGAUAACUUCGGGAAACCGGAGCUAAUACCGGAUAAUCCUUUUCCUCUCAUGAGGAAAAGCUGAAAGACGGUUUCGGCUGUCACUUACAGAUGGGCCCGCGGCGCAUUGGCGAGUUGGUGAGGUAACGGCUCGCCAAGGCGACGAUGCGUAGCCGACCUGAGAGGGGGAUCGGCCACACUGGGACUGAGACACGGCCCGGACUCCUACGGGAGGCAGCAGUAGGGAAUCUUCCGCAAUGGACGAAAGUCUGACGGAGCAACGCCGCGUGAGCGAUGAAGGCCUACGGGUCGUAAAGCUCUGUUGUCAGGGAAGAACAAGUACCGGAGUAACUGCCGGUACCUUGACGGUACCUGACCAGAAAGCCACGGCUAACUACGUGCCAGCAGCCGCAGUAAGAC